UGAGUAACCUGCCCUUCACUCUGGGAUAACUCCGGGAAACCGGGGCUAAUACCGGAUAUGAGUCCGAGCGGCAUCACGCGGACUGGAAAGUUUUUCGGCUAAGGAUGGGCUCGCGGCCUAUCAGCUUGUUGGUGGGGUAAAGGCCUACCAAGGCGACGACGGGUAGCCGGCCUGAGAGGGCGACCGGCCACACUGGGACUGAGACACGGCCCAGACUCCUACGGGAGGCA
rnacentral:rRNA from 1 species